rnacentral:rRNA from 1 species
UGAGGGAAAGGUGAAAAGAACCCCGGGAGGGGAGUGAAAUAGAAACUGAAACCGUAUGCUUACAAAAAGUUCGAGCACAUUAAUGUGUGAGAGCGUGCCUUUUGCAGAAUGAACCGGCGAGUUAUUGUAUUAUGCAAGGUUAAGUCGAACAGAUGGAGCCGAAGCGAAAGCGAGUCUGAAUAGGGCGCUUAAGUAUGAUGCAAUAGACCCGAAACCGAGUGAUCUAGCCAUGAGCAGGUUGAAGUUGGGGUAAGACCCAAUGGAGGACCGAACCGAUAUGCCCGGAAACGCGUACGGAUGACUUGUGGUUAGCGGAGAAAUUCCAAACGAACUCGGAGAUAGCUGGUUCUCCCCGAAAUAGGUUUAGGCCUAGCCUUGAUUGAAUCUGCCCGGAGGUAGAGCACUGAAUGUGCGAUGGCGUCGUCUAGAUGUACUGAGUACAAUCAAACUCCGAAUGCUGGGUAGUACUAAUCAGGAGUCACUGUAUGGGUGAUAACGUCCAUACGGGAGAGGAAAAGAAUCCGGAUCGCCAGCUAAGGUCCCAAAAUUUGUGUUAAGUGGGAAAGGAUGUAGAGUUGUCAAAACAGCUAGGAGGUUGGCUUAGAAGCAGCCACCCUUUAAAGAGUGCGUAAUAGCUCACUAGUCGAGUGACACUGCGCCGAAGAUGUACCGGGGCUAAACACAAUACCGAAGCUGCGGACUUGCAUGUAAGUGCAAGUGGUAGGGGAGCGUUCUAAGGGCUGUGAAGGUAGACCGUAAGGACUGCUGGAGCGCUUAGAAGUGAGAAUGCCGGUGUGAGUAACGAAAAUUGGGUGAGAAUCCCAUUCACCGUUUGACUAAGGGUUCCUGGGUAAAGUUCGUCUUCCCAGGGUAAGUCAGGACCUAAGAUGAGGCUGAAAAGCGUAGUCGAUGGACAACAGGUUGAUAUUCCUGUACCACCUAUAUGACUGAAGGAGUGACGGAGAAAGCUAGUGAGAGCCAGUUAAUGGAUUCUGGUCUAAGUGCGUAGGCUAGUAUGUUGGCAAAUCCGCAAUACUAUAACAGCUGAAACAUGAUGGGGAAGAGAGUCUUCGGACAAUCGAACUUUCAUGAUGCUAUGCUUCCAAGAAAAGCUUCUAGGGUUAAUCGUAUAGGUGCCUGUACCGACAACCGACACAGGUGGUCAAGGAGAGUAUCCUAAGGUGAGCGAGAGAACUAUGGUUAAGGAACUCGGCAAAAUGACCCCGUAACUUCGGGAGAAGGGGUGGUCUAGCGAUAGACCCGCAGUGAAUAGGCCCAGGCAACUGUUUACCAAAAACACAGGUCUCUGCUAACACGUAAGUGGAUGUAUAGGGGCUGACGCCUGCCCAGUGCUGGAAGGUUAAAGAGAUUAGUUAGUAUGACGUAAGUCGAUAAUACGAAGCUUUGAACUGAAGCCCCAGUGAACGGCGGCCGUAACUAUAACGGUCCUAAGGUAGCGAAAUUCCUUGUCAGGUAAGUUCUGACCCGCACGAAUGGUGUAACGAUUUGGGCACUGUCUCAACAACCUACCCGGCGAAAUUGUAGUACCGGUGAAGAUGCCGGUUACCCGCGACUAGACGGAAAGACCCCAUGGAGCUUCACUGUAGCUUAAUAUUGAAUUUUGGUAUUUCAUGUACAGGAUAGGUGGGAGACUGGGAAAUACAGGCGUCAGCUUGUAUGGAGUCACUGUUGGGAUACCACUCUUGAGGUGCUGAAAUUCUAACCUGCGUCUUUGAAUCAAGACGGGGGACAUUGUUAGGUGGGCAGUUUGACUGGGGCGGUCG